UACGUAGGCAGCAAACGUUGUUCGGAAUUACUGGGCGUAAAGAGUGUGUAGGCGGUUUCGUAAGUUUGGUGUGAAAUCUCCCGGCUUAACUGGGAGGGUGCGCCGAAAACUGCGAGGCUUGAGUACUGGAGAGGAGAGCGGAAUUCCUGGUGUAGCGGUGAAAUGCGCAGAUAUCAGGAGGAACACCGGUGGCGAAGGCGGAUCUCUGGGCCUUGCCUGACGCUGAGGCGCGAAAGCUAGGGGAGCGAACAGG
rnacentral:rRNA from 1 species